CCUACGGGAGGCAGCAGUGAGGAAUAUUGCUCAAUGGACGAGAGUCUGAACCAGCCACGCAGCGUGAAGGAUGACUGCCCUCGGGGCUGUAAACUUCUUUUAUAUGGGAAUAAAUUCUUCCACGUGUGGAAUUUUGUAUGUACCAUAUGAAUACGGAUCGCCUAACUCCGUGCCAGCAGCCGCGGUAAUACGGAGGAUCCGAGCGUUAUCCGGAUUUAGUGGGUGUAAAGGGAGCGUAGGUGGAUUGUUAAGUCAGUUGUGAAAGUUUGCGGCUCAACCGUACAAUUGCAGUUGAAACUGGCAGUCUUGAGUACAGUAGAGGUGGGCGGAAUUCGUGGUGUAGCGGUGAAAUGCUUAGAGAUCACGAAGAACUCCGGUUGCGAAGGCAGCUUACUGGACUGCAACUGACACUGAGGCGCGAAAGUGUGGGGAUCAAACAGGAUUAGAUACCCGAGUAGUC
rnacentral:rRNA from 1 species